UGUCAAACGAGACGAAGUGGGCGAUACAUUUGUAACUUGUUUCAGUUUGUCCAUGAGAAAAACCUCUCUCUUUGUUUCUUGAGCUCAACAUUUCAGUCAUGGAAACCCUAGAAAAACCUGAUGAAGAAACACUAAACAGUGGGAGUGCAAAUGUGGUGGGAAAUUGGGGUCCAUCUGCGCUCCUCGGGGUGUUAGCUGGUAUGCUAUAUGGUGGUAGCAAGGAAGCUUCUGCAUCUGUUAGUAAGGAUGCAGAAGUGAUGUUAAAGCUAGGUAGCACUCCAGACAAGCGUGAGCAGUAUAGAUUAAUGAGAGAUGCAAUGGAGAAAAGGUUUGUCAGGGUAACGCGUGGGUCAAUAGUUGGCGGGGUUCGCCUUGGAAUGUUCACCGCUGCAUUUUACGGUGUACAGAAUCUGCUUGCUGAGAAACGUGGUCUACAUGAUGCUUAUAAUGUGGCAGCUGCUGGUUCAGCUACUGCUGCAGCAUUCGGCUUAAUCAUGCCAGGCUCCAUUCAGUGGCGUGCAAGAAAUAUGAUGCUGGGUUCUGUUUUAGGCGCUGCAGUCGGAUUGCCACUCGGUUGGUGUCAUUUGAAGCUUAUGGAGAAGGCAGAUGAACAAAGACUGGCUUAUGAAUCUACACUGCCAGAUAGGAGAGAGGAAAAGGGUGGGGUUGGCGGUGCCAUUGAUAGGCUUGAGGAGAACUUCAGAAGAUCGAAGUAACAGAUGCAAGAAGAAAGUUGUAUCCUAGGGAAGAAAGGAAACAGAGAAGUGCAUCUUUUUGAAGGAAUAAGAUGGCUCAGACAUACACUGUACAUCCAUCUCUAUGCAAUAAGGCCGCAUUGAAGUUAACUCCUGGUCUGUGAGCUGGGGCUGGGGCUGAUCAGAGUUCACCAAGAAAUGACCUAAUUCUAUGGUAAAAGAUAUAUUCCUCUGUAAUACUUGCAAGCAAACUAAAAUCUGAAUGAUAAUAAU